GCUCACUUUGGCAUGUGCAUAUGCCAAAAUUGGAAUGAUACAGAGAAGAUUGGCAUGGCCCAUGUGCAAGGAUGUCAGGCAAAUCUGUGAAGAGUUCCAUAUUUUU
ensembl:snRNA U6 U6 spliceosomal RNA